rnacentral:lncRNA from 1 species
CAUUAUAAAUGCAACGCUCCCAGGAGCAAGAUGACGAUUGUUUAUGGGGCCAUGUAAUCCAUACCUGUUUUCUGUGAACACGAAUCUUUAAAGAUUUCUUUUAUUAUUGCUGUAAGAGUCCAGAGGCAGUAUAUUGCUUUAUUACUCUCAGAGCAUUCAGAAAGAUUUUUCUGGCAAAAAGCAAUCCAGGAAUUACUUAAGGUUAUCUACAAGUGAGAAAAUAAAGAAAGUGGUUAAAAUACAAUAUUUUCUUUACAUAAUACAACUGUAUACAACAUUGUUUACACAUUUGGCCAAAAGAAGUAUGAUAAUAUGUGGCAAAACGAGAAGGAACAGAAAUAUCCUAAUAUUAUUUAAGUAAAAAAAUCGAAUAUGCCAUAGAAAUAAAACAAAGGGAUGGAGGAAGAUCUACCAAGCAAAUGGAAAACAAAAAAAAGGCAGGGGUUGCAAUCCUAGUCUCUGAUAAAACAGACUUUAAACCAACAAAGAUCAAAAGAGACAAAGAAGGCCAUUACAUAAUGGUAAAGGGAUCAAUUUAACAAGAAGAGCUAACUAUCCUAAAUAUAUAUGCACCCAAUACAGGAGCACCCAGAUUCAUAAAGCAACUCCUUAGAGACCUAAAAAGAGACUUAGACUCCCACACAAUAAUAAUGGGAGACUGUAACACCCCACUGUCAACAUUAGACAGAACAAUGAGACAGAAAGUUAACAAGGAUAUCCAGGAAUUGAACUCAGCUCUGCACCAAUCAGACCUAAUAGACAUCUACAGAACUCUCCACCCCAAAUCAACAGAAUAUACAUUCUUUUCAGCACCACACCACACCUAUUCCAAAAUUGACCACAUAGUUGGAAGUAAAGCUCUCCUCAGCAAAUGUAAAAGAACAGAAAUUAUAACAAACUGUCUCUCAGACCACAGUGCAAUCAAACUAGAACUCAGGAUUAAGAAACUCACUCAAAACCGCUCAACUACAUGGAAACUGAACAACCUGCUCCUGAAUGACUGCUGGGUACAUAAUAAAAUGAAGGCAGAAAUAAAGAUGUUCUUUGAAACCAACAAGAACAAAGACACAACAUGCCAGAAUCUCUGGGACGCAUUCAAAGCAGUGUGUAGAGGGAAAUUUAUAGCACUAAAUGCCCACAAGAGAAAGCAGGAAAGAUCCAAAAUUGACACCCUAACAUCACAAUUAAAAGAACUAGAAAAGCAAGAGCAAACACAUUCAAAAGCUAGCAGAAGGCAAGAAAUAACUAAAAUCAGAGCAGAACUGAAGGAAAUAGAGACACAAAAAACCCUUCAAAAAAUUAAUGAAUCCAGGAGCUGGUUUUUUGAAAGGAACAACAAAAUUGAUAGACUGCUAGCAAGACUAAUGANNNNNNNNNNNNNNNNNNNNNNNNNNNNNNNNNNNNNNNNNNNNNNNNNNNNNNNNNNNNNNNNNNNNNNNNNNNNNNNNNNNNNNNNNNNNNNNNNNNNNNNNNNNNNNNNNNNNNNNNNNNNNNNNNNNNNNNNNNNNNNNNNNNNNNNNNNNNNNNNNNNNNNNNNNNNNNNNNNNNNNNNNNNNNNNNAGCUGAAUCUCCGAAUAGACCAAUAACAGGCUGUGAAAUUGAGGCAAUAAUUAAUAGCUUACCAACCAAAAAAAGCCCAGGACCAGAUGGAUUCACAGCCGAAUUCUACCAGACGUACAAGGAGGAGCUGGUACCAUUCCUUCUGAAACUAUUCCAAUCAACAGAAAAAGAGGGAAUCCUCCCUAACUCAUUUUAUGAGGACAGCAUCAUCCUGAUACCAAAGCCUGGCAGAGACACAACAAAAAAAGAGAAUUUUAGACCAAUAUCCCUGAUGAACAUUGAUGCAAAAAUCCUCAGUAAAAUACUGGCAAACCAAAUCCAGCAGCACAUCAAAAAGCUUAUCCACCAUCAUCAAGUGGGCUUCAUCCCUGAGAUGCAAGGCUGGUUCAACAUAUGCAAAUCAAUAAAUGUAAUCCAUCAUAUAAACAGAACCAAAGACAAAAACCACAUGAUUAUCUCAAUAGAUGCAGAUGGAAACCAUCAUUCUCAUCAAACUAUCACAAGGACAAAAAACCAAACACCACAUGUUCUCACUCAUAGGUGGGAACUGAACAAUGAGAACACUUGGACUCAGGAAGGGGAACAUGACACAUCAGGGCCUGUUGUGGGGUAGGGUGAGGGGGAAGGGAUAGUAUUAAGAGAUAUACCUAAUGUAAAUGAGGAGUUAAUGGGUGCAGCACACCAACAUGGCACAUGUAUACAUAUGUAACAAACCUGCACGUUGUGCACAUGUACCCUAGACCUUAAAGUAUAAUAAAAAUAUAUAUAUUUUAAAAAAAGAAAAUGUGGUACAUAUAUAGAAUGGAAUACUAUGUAGCCAUAAAAAAGUGAGAUUCUGUCAUUUGAAACAACAUGGAUGGAACUGGAAGUCAUUGUUAAAUGAUAGAAGCCAGGCACAGGAAGACAAAUAUUGCAUGUUCUCCCUUAUUUGUGGGAGCUAAAAAUUAAAACAGUUGAACUCAUGGAGAUUUCGAGUAAAACAAUGGUUACCAGAGGCCAAGAAGGGUAGUUCUGAGUGGAGGGAAGGGGGAAUGGUUAGUGGGUAAAAAUAUGGUUAGAUAGAAUGAAGAAGAUCUAUAAUAGUAUUUGAUAGUACAACAGGGUAACUACAGUCAACAAUAAUGUAUUGUACAUUUUAAUAUAACUAAAAGAGUAUAAUUGAAUUGUCCAUAACAAAAAAAGAUAAACGCUUGAUGUGAUAAAUANNNNNNNNNNNCCAAGAUCCCAUUUAUAAGAAUAAAAAUAUAAGAAUAUGGAAUUCUGUUUCAGUAAAUCUGGGAUAGGGCCUGAGAUUCUACUUAUAGAGAAGCCUUUCUCCUUUAUUCCCCUCAGAGUUAACCCAAUCUCUGAGUGCUUCACUCUCAGUGUGAACAGAGGAAAGUCUCCACAAAUGUAAAAACUGAUAAACCAGAACUCAGCAAAAUUUAAAACUUGCUCUGCAAAAAAACCCUAAGAAGAUGAGAAGACAAGCUACAGACUUAAAGAAAAAUACCUGCAAAGCACAUGACUAGUACCUAGAAUAUAUAAAGAACUCCCAAAACUCAACAUUAAAAAAAAAAUUCAAUUACAAAAUGGAUCAGACAUGCACAGACAUUUCACCAAAGAGGAUAUAAAGAUGGCAAAUAAUCCCACAGAAAGAUCCUUAACCAUAUUAGCCAUUACAGAAAUAUGAAUUAACACUACAGUGAACUACCACUACUAGAAGAGCUAAAAAUGACUCCAAAUGCUGGGGAGGAUGCUGAGAAACUAGAUCUCUCCUACACUGCUGGUGAGAAUGAAAAAUGGCACAUCCUCUUUGGAAAACAAUUUGUGGUUAUCUUUAAAAAGAUAUGUCUAUGUUUGAAUUCAGAAUACAAAAAUAAUCUAUUUUCAUGGUCAAUAUUAGAAGUAAAAAAAAUUACUAGUUUCUUUAUAUGAUGUGGCUACUACAUAGACUAAUAGACUGGGAAAGUCAAUAGUAGGCCUUCCCCUAAUUCAACAACAGUUGGUUCAAAUCUGACCACAGCCCAAGAGGCUACUUAAUCUAUUUUGCUCCAUUAAUGAAGAUGCAGUGACAACUGUCGCGGAAGUUGAGGCCUCCAAACCCAGGCUGUCUUCCAGGAUUCUGGUUCCCUCCACCAAUCGAAACUGCACUUUUCACAGAAAAAAUAAAAUGGGUCUGGUUAGACAAGAGCACCUCCCUCCCCUAUUAAAAGAAGUGGGGCAGAUAUCUUCCGCCAGCAUGCCAUGUGCCAGUAUCUUCCCUUUAGUUCCAUUCUUCACUCUCCUCUGUGCCCCAACAGACUCCAGGAGAUUUGGAGUGGGAGGGGCGGAAGGCAGGCUGGACUUUCAAGCUCCAGGAACUGCCAGCUCUCUUUACCUUCAGGGCUAAAGGGGGUGCUGGCGGUUACUGGCCUUGGAGUGCUACACCAUGCUUCCUUUUCCUCAAAACAAUGGUACUCAAACUGUGUCAUGCACUUGACAGGUUUAUGAAAGCAGACUGCAGGGCCCUACCCUAGGAGUUUCCCAUAAGAUAGUUCUGGGGUGGGGCCCAGUAACUUGUAUUUCUAACAAGUUUCCAGGUUACUUCUGAGAUAGUGAGAAUACAAACUCUGUCACGUGUUUGUAAAUUGUCUUCCUAUUAAACUCUUGUCUUAGGACUCUGAAACAGGCCAGAUUUUUUUGGCAUGAAGGAAAAGCCUGGCAAUCAAGUUAUAGAUAAAAGACUUAAUGCUUAAAUGCAUUUUUCUGUCAAAGUGAUAUACUGGUAACAGCCUUAUGAUACAGGAGCUAGAAAUUAUUUAGACAGAUAGUGAGGGUAAGAGAGUCCUUGGCAAGGUUUCCCUUUUAAUAAAAAGCAGCCCCCAAAUCAUUUCUUUUCUAACAAAAAGCGGCCUGAAAAAUCAAGCUGCAAGCAUAGACACACAAGUAAAAGCUUGCAUAGGUGAAUGCCGGCAGCUGUGCCAAUGGGAAAGGGCUACCUGGGGACCAGGCACAGAUAAGAAUGUAACAGAGGAAGCCUGCUGCAAUUGGUUAAAUCCAAGAUGGCCAAAAACUUGACUGAAUGCAUACUCUUGGCUGCAUUAUGCCCUAUUACCAUAAAACUUCCCUGGGGAAACCGCCCACUCCCUGCCACGUACCUGAAGCCAUGACAGUUCCAGAUUAACCACAUUUAGUCAAGAAAAGGGUGGCGCCCUGAUUCCGGGAACUGCCCGCCCAUUUCCUGGAAACCCUCUCCUUUCAUCACAGAAUAUUUGUGCCUUCAUCAUGCCUGUCUGCGUAGCGAGCCCUGACCACAUUACACGCCUCUUUUGAGCACAUCCAGGCUCCUCUUUUGAGUGUGCACUUGCUUUCACUCUGCAACAAACCUUCUACAUUUUCACUGUGGUCUCCCUUUCAAAUUCUUUUGUGCAGAGAAGCGAAGAACCUGACCUGGCCUACUGGCAACAGUAUCUUUCUCAAGUAGCUCUAUUAUGUGACCACUCCAAAGGCAAAUCUUUUUUUUUUUUUUUUAAACAUAGCACAGAUUAAUGCUGGACAUUAGAAUCAUAACGUGUUCAUACUAGAAAAAAUCUCAAGAGAUAAUUUAGAGAUAAUUCUCAAACCGUAGCAUCAGAAUUACCUGGAAGGCUUAUUAGAACACAAAUGCCUGGGCCCACUUUGGAGAUUCUGAUUUAGUGGGUCUGGGAGGGCCCAAGAAUUGAACCAGGGACUACACUUUGAGAACCACUGCGCAAUCUACUUGAUUUAUUGAUGAGGAAUCUCAGCUCCUUAGGUUUUUAUAUGCUAAUGCUAAGCAUUUUUUAAAUAAAUGGAAAUUCUCCAGUGUAUCAAUAUGAAUGAUACUUUUCUAUACUUAGUUGCUAAAUUAUAACUGUAUGUUUUAAGUGGUACUUCAGAAUGAAAUAUUUCACUGAAAGGUUUUCCUUAGUCUUCCCCUUUUCCAGUCUAUGCCUUGUCCCUUUUCCAUCUGCCCCCACAAAUCCGCCACCAGUGGCAGGGUAGCGUUUAGGAACUGUCUAUAGAUGUGAUACUGUCUAGAUUUUACUGAACUCCUAAAUUCUGUACACAGACAAGAUCUGAUUUUUCAAUUGAUAAAACGAGAUUAUCUACCUAACUCAGCCAAGUAGCAUACUCAAAGAUUUGCAAAAAUUAAAUGGCUUAUAUGUGAAAACACCUGUACAACUCAUGUAGGAAGAUGUCAAUAUGUCUUUAUUUAUUAACCUUGAAAGGUUCCUUCCAGCCUCUGGGCCUUGAUACAAUGCUUCUCCUUCCACCUACUUUCCCUUUUGUUUUAGGCUUAAAUAUGACUUUCUUUGGCAGGGGUAGGUCCUCCGGUGAU